rnacentral:lncRNA from 1 species
UGGGUGAACUAUGGGGCAUUUGCCCGGAGUUCAUGCUCAGCAUCAGGGUCAAAGCAAAGGGAACUCUGACAAUGAUUCCAUUGUGAACUUGUUCUGGGAAUGCCAUGAUGAUUCUCUAUCAUGUUCCUCGUACACUGCACCAGCACCACUGCUUCCCUUCCCAGUGAGAACCCGAUCAAGCUUUAUCAUGCAGCCCAGAAGGGUGGGGGAAAGAAAAAGAAUUAGGAGAAAAUGUUGUAAAAGUAAUGAGAUAAUAUGAGAAUGUGCUUUGGGAACUGCGAAUCUGGAGUCACUGGUCCAUGAGGAAUCUAGGAUAAGAAGAAGGAAGCUGUGAAGAAUGGUUGGCUAACAGUGCUGGCAAGGAAUUCAGAUCAACAUACCUCUCAAAAGAAUGGAAGUCUCUUAAACUCAGGUAAUUGUUAAAUUGGUUCAAGUGUAUUAUGGCAAGAAUGCUUCUCUCUCCUUCCCUAAUAUAACACUGCCCUAAAUGACUCCCUACCUCCCUGUUUUGUCUCACGCUUGACAGUGAAAACAAAGAUAAAUAUUUGAGGAAACAUAAACUCAAUAAUGUCAUUUAUUGGAAAGCUACAGUUUACAGAUUCUUUGCAUUUAUUACCAGAGCUGUUCCUUACAACAACUUUAUCUGAACAGUAUUAUUAGCUACAUGCUGUAGAUGAGAAAAGCAGUGCUCAACGAAACUAACUUGCCCUAGAGUAUCCAUCCAGUAACUGGUGAAGCUGGGAUUUCAACUUCCUUUUCUUUUUUCUUUCUUUUUUUAAAAAUCUUAAUUCUGAAGCUGUUAUGCAUUAUGGAACCUGUGUAGUUCCGUUCUGAGUUCUACUAUCUGGUUCAGAAUCUUGGCUCUACCACUUCAGCCCUCCCCCUCGCUCCAGGAAAGAAAUCACACAAGCUUUUGGGGGGAAAGAUUAGAAUGGAAAGGUCUGAAAUACAAGAGGAAAACCAUAAAAGUGUGUGUGCCCAGAGGGAAGAGAGGAGAGAAUUUCAAUAAGAAUGGGAUGAUUACCUGUGUAAUCAGGUAAUCAGCUAAUAUAGAUGAAAACAGUAUUUUGCAUUGCGAUAUUAGAUAGUUAUAGGCCAACUUUGCCAGAAAACUUUAGCAGAGUGCAGACAGAAAUGAGAUAAUAGUCUGUUAUAGGCAGGGAGAAUGUGGAGACAGGAGAAAGAAACUGAAAACACAGGAGAGGGAUGAGACGCUGGUAAAUAUUUCUUAACAGACCCCAGAGAAGUAGGCAAGACCAUCUAAAGGAGAGACAGAUGCAUGAGUCUUGGAAAUCAGAUGGUAAAAACCUGGUGGCAGGUUUGAAUGUCUCUGUGAAGUAAGAGAGAAGGGUGCUGCUAGGGAAAGGGAUUAGGGUGAAGGAGCAGCAAGGAAGGUGAAGGACAACUGGACAGUUUGCACGUGGAUGGUUUUGACUUGCCAUUGUGAGGGAUGACAAAAACUGCAUUCUCUGAGCAUAAACAUGGUUGGCCAGAUAGUCUGCAGGCCAACUGUGAGUGUAAAUUUGGAGCAGCACCUAUCUGAAGGGUGGUGUGGUUUCCCCACCAGAAUUCAAGAACCUAAAAUAAUGGAGUGGUUUAGGAUUAGGGCUGGGGCCAAGUGUGAUAGCUCACGUUGGUAAUCACAGCACUUUGGGAGCCCAAGGCAGGAGGAUCUGUAGAGUCCAGGAGUUCGAGACCAGCCUUGGCAACAUAGCAAGAACCUGUCUCUACAAAAAAUAGAUAAAUUUUUAAAAAUAAAAAAAAGAUUAGGGCUAGGUAGGUAAAAUAGAUAGGUUUAGGAAAGGACAAAGAAUAUGAGGGAAACAGGAAUGCUAACAGAACUGGCUAAAGUGAUAAAGGAGAAAGAGGGCUGUCUAUCUGAAUAUAAAAGCAGUCGAGCUUGGUUGGGGUUGUGAGCUGGUGAAACAAGCAGAGUACAAAGUAAUGAGGCUUCUCUAGGACAAAAAACGGUGGUGAUGAAA